rnacentral:rRNA from 1 species
AACGCGAAGAACCUUACCAAGGCUUGACAUGCAGGGAAAAGCCGUGGAGACACGGUGUCCGAAAGGGCCCUCGAUAGGUGGUGCAUGGCUGUCGUCAGCUCGUGUCGUGAGAUGUUGGGUUAAGUCCCGCAACGAGCGCAACCCUUGUCCUAUGUUGCCAGCGGGUAAUGCCGGGGACUCGUAGGAGACUGCCGGGGUCAACUCGGAGGAAGGUGGGGACGACGUCAAGUCAUCAUGCCCCUUAGUCUAGGGCUGCACACAUGCUACAAUGGCCGGUACAAAGGGCUGCUACUCCGCGAGGACGAGCGAAUCCCAAAAAGCCGGUCUCAGUUCGGAUCGUAGUCUGCAACUCGACUGCGUGAAGCUGGAGUCGCUAGUAAUCCCGGAUCAGCAACGCCGGGUGAAUACCGUUCCCGGGCCUUGUACACACCGACAUA